CAUCAGAUGACUGAAAUGUAAGUAAUGGUCUCUUAAACCAAUUUAUAGUAACCAACAAUUACUUCUGAUGA
rnacentral:tRNA from 1 species